rnacentral:lncRNA from 1 species
GGCCGGCGGACCGAGCUGGGACAGAUGCCACCCCCGGGACUUUCCCGGAGAGCAGCCCCGGGGCGGUGGAAUCACACUCCUGCGCUCAGACACACGGCCUCCUGCUCCCUGCGCUCCCUCCCGCCCCCUCUUCCUCUGCCUCUUCCUCAGAUCCUCUCUCCUCUGAUUUCUUCGCGCGCUCUCGCCCGGUCUCUGUAGGUUUCCCUCUUCCUUCCUCCCUCGCCUUCCCUUUCUCUCUCCCCCCAUCCCCGUGUCUGUCCCCCUUUCUCUUUCCGUGAGACAGUUUGUGUUACUUCACCAGCAGCAUGGAACAAGUCCUCUGCUUUCGUCCGCCCUGUCCCCUGUCCCCCAGCAGCAGGGGCGAAUGGGCCUGCGCUCUGCACCAACAGUCACCUGCAAGGUCUUCCAGGCCAGUGUCAUUGAUGGUCCCCUGCGCUGGCCGCCAGGGGACACCCCCAGCCUAGAAGGAGGUGGGUUUCUUUCCAGGUGGGGGCCCCCACUGAAGAGGAGCAAGCCUCAAGGGAGGCGGAGCUCUGCUGCACUCCCCUUCCCCUGUAUUCAGCCCAGCCAGUCACCGGGAACUCCCCCUACACAGCCUCUGGUGACCGAGGACCUUGCUAGGCCCAGUCCUGCUCCCCUGGCCCUUGCGUCUACUCUUCGCCUCCUCCCAGGUGAAGUACUCGGCUCAGAGGAGGGACUGAAGCCCGGCAUGGAUGCUGUGUCUGAGCAGAAAGUCAGAGAGCCCGCCCAGCCUGCUUCUCCGGGAAGGAAACUGGCCUGGAAGGCUGACCAAGGAUUGGGGUUGGGGUGCUCCCUUUGAGCCAGCGCUGUGAAGGGAGAGAUGCUGUGCCUGACCCCACACCCCCCCGCACCCCCACCCAGGCCUGGUGCUGAGGAUACAGCUCUUCUCAGUGUCUGAACACAAUCUCCAAAAUUGAAAUGUAUAUUUUUGCUAGGAGCCCCAGCUUCCUGUGUUUUUAAUAUAAAUAGUGUACACAGACUGACAGAACUUUAAAUAAAUGGGAAUUAAAUAUUUAAGAGUUGAUGCA